AGUGAACGCUGGCGGCAUGCUUUACACAUGCAAGUCGAACGGUAACAGGCCGCAAGGUUCUGACGAGGGGCGAACGGGGGAGUAAGGCUGCGGAACGUGCCCAGUCGUGGGGGAUAACGACUCGAAAGAGUGGCUAAUACCGCAUACGAUCUAUGGAGGAAAGCGGGGGACCGUAAGGCCUCGCGCGAUUGUAGCCGCCGAUGUCAGAUUAGGUAGUUGGUGGGGUAAAGGCUCACCAAGGCAACGAUCUGUAGCUGGUCUGAGAGGACGACCAGCCACACUGGAACUGAGACACGGCCCAGACUCCUACGGGAGGCAGCAGUGGGGAAUUUUGGACAAUGGGCGCAAGCCUGAUCCAGCAAUGCCGCGUGCAGGAAGAAGGCCUUCGGGUUGUAAACUGCUUUUGUACGGAACGAAACGGCUCUGGUUAAUACCCCGGGCUACUGACGGUACCGUAAGAAUAAGCACCGGCUAACUACGUG
rnacentral:rRNA from 1 species